GUCCCCAUUACAAUUUUAUUAAAUAAAUUAAUCAAUCGAUAAAUCAAAAAUCACAAAAAAACUAGUGACUUAAUCUGAGAACCUGUUAUAUUAGUACAAAUGUAAGGGUGGGUGGAGUUUUAAGGACAAGUUUUAUUUUGAUGCCAAACACAUCAGUCUUCAGGCAUUUUCCAUGCAGUAGAAGAUUAUUGCUCCUCAAGCUUGCAUUACUCAUGUUAGGUUGCUUCUCAGAAAUAAUUUUUCAUUAGGGUUGGAAGCUAAAGACUUGAAAGAUGUUUCGAUUUAUUAUAUUUAUUGGAUUGGCUUUACUGAUUGGUAAAUCAAUACCAACAGCAGAAACACAAACUAUUCCAGCAUCUACAUCUGAAUCAACGACAACAGCUGAACCAACCACAACUGAAACAUCAUCUACAACUGCAACAGGAACAUCAUCUAUGCCAGCAUCUACAUCUGAAUCAACGACAACAGCUGAACCAACAACAACUGAAACUUCAUCUACAACUGUAACAGGAACAUCAUCUAUGCCAGCAUCUACAUCUGAAUCAACGACAACAGCUGAACCAACAACAACUGAAACUUCAUCUACAACUGUAACAGGAACAUCAUCUAUGCCAGCAUCUACAUCUGAAUCAACGACAACAGCUGAACCAACAACAACUGAAACUUCAUCUACAACUGUAACAGGAACAUCAUCUAUGCCAGCAUCUACAUCUGAAUCAACGACAACAGCUGAACCAACAACAACUGAAACUUCAUCUACAACUGUAACAGGAACAUCAUCUAUGCCAGCAUCUACAUCUGAAUCAACGACAACAGCUGAACCAACAACAACUGAAACUUCAUCUACAACUGUAACAGGAACAUCAUCUAUGCCAGCAUCUACAUCUGAAUCAACGACAACAGCUGAACCAACAACAACUGAAACUUCAUCUACAACUGUAACAGGAACAUCAUCUAUGCCAGCAUCUACAUCUGAAUCAACGACAACAGCUGAACCAACAACAACUGAAACUUCAUCUACAACUGUAACAGGAACAUCAUCUAUGCCAGCAUCUACAUCUGAAUCAACGACAACAGCUGAACCAACAACAACUGAAACUUCAUCUACAACUGUAACAGGAACAUCAUCUAUGCCAGCAUCUACAUCUGAAUCAACGACAACAGCUGAACCAACAACAACUGAAACUUCAUCUACAACUGUAACAGGAACAUCAUCUAUGCCAGCAUCUACAUCUGAAUCAACGACAACAGCUGAACCAACAACAACUGAAACUUCAUCUACAACUGUAACAGGAACAUCAUCUAUGCCAGCAUCUACAUCUGAAUCAACGACAACAGCUGAACCAACAACAACUGAAACUUCAUCUACAACUGUAACAGGAACAUCAUCUAUGCCAGCAUCUACAUCUGAAUCAACGACAACAGCUGAACCAACAACAACUGAAACUUCAUCUACAACUGUAACAGGAACAUCAUCUAUGCCAGCAUCUACAUCUGAAUCAACGACAACAGCUGAACCAACAACAACUGAAACUUCAUCUACAACUGUAACAGGAACAUCAUCUAUGCCAGCAUCUACAUCUGAAUCAACGACAACAGCUGAACCAACAACAACUGAAACUUCAUCUACAACUGUAACAGGAACAUCAUCUAUGCCAGCAUCUACAUCUGAAUCAACGACAACAGCUGAACCAACAACAACUGAAACUUCAUCUACAACUGUAACAGGAACAUCAUCUAUGCCAGCAUCUACAUCUGAAUCAACGACAACAGCUGAACCAACAACAACUGAAACUUCAUCUACAACUGUAACAGGAACAUCAUCUAUGCCAGCAUCUACAUCUGAAUCAACGACAACAGCUGAACCAACAACAACUGAAACUUCAUCUACAACUGUAACAGGAACAUCAUCUAUGCCAGCAUCUACAUCUGAAUCAACGACAACAGCUGAACCAACAACAACUGAAACUUCAUCUACAACUGUAACAGGAACAUCAUCUAUGCCAGCAUCUACAUCUGAAUCAACGACAACAGCUGAACCAACAACAACUGAAACUUCAUCUACAACUGUAACAGGAACAUCAUCUAUGCCAGCAUCUACAUCUGAAUCAACGACAACAGCUGAACCAACAACAACUGAAACUUCAUCUACAACUGUAACAGGAACAUCAUCUAUGCCAGCAUCUACAUCUGAAUCAACGACAACAGCUGAACCAACAACAACUGAAACUUCAUCUACAACUGUAACAGGAACAUCAUCUAUGCCAGCAUCUACAUCUGAAUCAACGACAACAGCUGAACCAACAACAACUGAAACUUCAUCUACAACUGUAACAGGAACAUCAUCUAUGCCAGCAUCUACAUCUGAAUCAACGACAACAGCUGAACCAACAACAACUGAAACUUCAUCUACAACUGUAACAGGAACAUCAUCUAUGCCAGCAUCUACAUCUGAAUCAACGACAACAGCUGAACCAACAACAACUGAAACUUCAUCUACAACUGUAACAGGAACAUCAUCUAUGCCAGCAUCUACAUCUGAAUCAACGACAACAGCUGAACCAACAACAACUGAAACUUCAUCUACAACUGUAACAGGAACAUCAUCUAUGCCAGCAUCUACAUCUGAAUCAACGACAACAGCUGAACCAACAACAACUGAAACUUCAUCUACAACUGUAACAGGAACAUCAUCUAUGCCAGCAUCUACAUCUGAAUCAAUGACAACAGCUGAACCAACAACAACUGAAACUUCAUCUACAACUGUAACAGGAACAACAACUACGCCAGCAUCUACAUCUGAAUCAACAACUGUCGUUGAACCAACAACUAAAACAUCUACAGCUCAAUCAACUGUACCAACAUCUACGAAUCAAACAACAGCUGUUCCAACAUCUGCAUCAGCUGCACCAAUUUCGACAGUUGCGGUAUUAUAUACACCAACUGAAUCAACAUCUACCACUCAAUCAACAACUGCACCAACAUCUGCCACUCUAUCAACAUCAGCUGCGUCAACAUUGACAUCAGCUGCAUUAACAACCACAACUCGAACAGCAACACCAGCAUCUACCUCUGAACUGACAACAACUCAACCAGUAAAUCAGUCAACACCCUCAUCUCCAGAAAUUUACCUGCAAAAUACGACAGCAGCUGCAUAUGUAACUUUCAAAAUGAGAUCCUUUGUUGACCUGAGCGAUGAUAAAAUCAUUACAUAUAUUGAAAAGUUUGUCAAGCAAUUUCACACAAACAGUAGUGGGACCAUCAGGAUUACUUUGAAGAAAUCAAAAAAAUUGUUGACCUGAGGAUCUGACAUGGAAAACUGCAAUCUUCUACAAAAAUAUCAGAAUGAUUAUACCAGUAUGAAAAUUAAAAAAGGUUUUGUCCAGUCAAUAUUUUUUUUCACUUUCUACAAUAUUUUUCAUAAUAUAUAUAUAUAUAGUGAUUGUGAUUAAAAGAAGCACUUGUAGUCACAGACAAAAGGUUAACAGCUAACUUUUCUUUUUCUUUUUUCUUUUUUGUAUCUUAGUUAAUCUGUUUUAAUUUAGGUGCCGCACUUUUUUCAUUCUCAACUCAAACUAUUUCUUGAGCUGUGUUGUGUAAUAUAAUAUAUUUUGUGGAUGUUAUUUAAUUUCUGCUCCUUUCAGUGUGAUUUAGAAAAAUCAUUUAUAUAUUCUAACAUUUAUUUAUUCUAAUACAUCUAACAUUUCAAAGUUGUGGAAUGUCAGAAUGUGUUGCAUUCGUCUUAUACUAGCUAGAUAACUAGAAGUCUUUAGGUCAAAACUGUUUUGUAAAUGUUGAUACAAGUACUGUAAUAUAAUAUAUACUGUAAAUACCAUGGUCUGUCUGAAUACUCGGAUUCUGAUGCCGAUUGCUCUUGUGCAUGUAGGCACCUGCUGUAUUGUAAAAUACUGAAUCUAGCCGCACAACGGCUGCUAAAAAUGACAACGAAGCCAGGGAAGUUUGCAGUUGAAUCUCUAUGUUAUUGUUUAUAUGGUCAUCAAGGAAACACACAGUGAAUGUGGGCAGCCACACCAUCGUUUUCAAAAGUCUCCAUUUUGGUCCGUUUACACUGAAACGCAACCACAAUCAGUUUUCAAACUAAUACAGGGUCUGCAGCAUUUUCAAAAAUCUCCAUUUUCGAGGGUUGAAAAUGCUGGAGAAGUGUAAACGUAUGAAAAAACAAAAAGUUAUGGGUUUUAAAAUGAAAAUGCACUAGUGUAAAUGUAGUCUUAGGCUGAUGAUACAUGGGGUGACUUUUUGAGCAAUUUUGCUGGGCAACUUGAGAAACAAGUUUCUAUCUGGAUACUUUAGAUCGGUUGUGGGCCCUGUGUCUAACCUGGUUGCCCGUUGAUGGCAACACUGCUCAAAAAGUUGCCCCGUGUGUCAUCAUCCUUAAUGUAGUGCCGAAUUCAACUGUCCAUGAAUCUCAGCUGCGACUCUGGGCGCUGUUCAAAAUCCUGCCAUGCCACUCACAAAGUUUUCCAUUAAAUUGUAUUAUAUUGGUCCCAAAUUAUUGUUAAGGUACAUAAAGACAAUGUAUUGUGCAAUUUUCAGUGAAACGUUUGUCUUUCUAUGGCUCUAAUAAAAUCCGGGCUUCAUAUAGACGUUUCUGUUUU
ensembl:lncRNA